AUUGAACGCUGGCGGCAGGCCUAACACAUGCAAGUCGAACGAGUGGCGGACGGGUGAGUAAUGUCUGGGAAACUGCCCGAUGGCGGGGGAUAACUCCUGGAAACGGUAGCUAAUACCGCCUACCAUCGGAUGUGCCCAGAUGGGAUUAGCUAGUAGGUGGGGUAACGGCUCACCUAGGCGACGAUCCCUAGCUGGUCUGAGAGGAUGACCAGACACACUGGAACUGAAAAACGGUCCAGACUCAAACGGGAGGCAGCAGUGGGGAAUAUUGCACAAUGGGCGCAAGCCGGAUACAGAAAUGCCGCGGGUAUGAAGAAGGCCUUCGGGUUGUAAAGUACGUUCAGCGAGGAGGCGUUACUCGAAGAGGAAGCACCGGCUAACUCCGUGCCAGCAGCCGCGGUAAUUC
rnacentral:rRNA from 1 species